rnacentral:rRNA from 1 species
UACGUAGGUGGCAAGCGUUGUCCGGAUUUACUGGGCGUAAAGAGCGCGCAGGCGGCUGGGCAAGUCCGAUGUGAAAGCUUCCGGCUUAACUGGAAAAUUGCAUCGGGAAACUGCUCGGCUUGAAGGUGGGAGAGGGUAGCGGAAUUCCCGGUGUAGUGGUGAAAUGCGUAGAUAUCGGGAGGAACACCAGUGGCGAAGGCGGCU